AUUAUGAUCGCACCGGUUUGGGAUUUCUGUUUAUCUGUUGAUGUCUUUUCCAUUCUCAGAGAGGAUUGUUUUAAUGCAUCUGCAGAUAUAUUUAUGUAUUUUGGUAUUUGUUCGGAUUAGUAUUGAUCUUUUAAGGAUGCUGGAAGGCUUUAAGAAAGUUCACUUUGGGACUCUAGUAAUGGGGCUCAGGUUAGCAGAGAUUUCUGAGAGUUUCUGGCAAAUGAGCAGCCUGAGACUCUAUUAAGGAAGGCAAAUGGAAGUUACAGCGUCUGUGUGAGAAAAAUGAAGGAAAUCUAAUCAAAAAAAAAAAAAAAAACAACUCUGGGGUAUUGCAGCUGCUGCCGUAGAUUCAUUUUUGAAGUGUGUGAGAAAUUAUCCAAAAGCAGGCUUCCUAGCAUGAAGAAAUAUUUGCCUUUUGCUGCCAGCUCCGCAGGAGAAAAAUAUGGUGUAAAAAAUGAGAAUAAAUCACAGGAUGUUUUUAAAAAGCCCGCAGAAUAAAAGUGAUGCAAUAAAUACAAACCCGCAGCAGCCUCAUCUGCUCCUAUUAUCACCAUCAGAUCUACAGGUGAAAGCUUUGUAACGUACAGCCCCGAGCCUGCAGAUGUGCUCCAGUAGACGACACCUUGAAGUAUCUACGUUUACAGAUGGCGUCGCUGUCAUGGUGACAGCUGUCCUCCGCCUCGGGCUCCUCUGUGCUUUCUUACCGUCUCUUUCUGUCACCCUACAGACUUGUGUCAUGCCUCACCUGCCCACUAGCUGCUGUCACAUAAACGUCACCUGACUGCUCAGCUGCUGCUCCUCACCUCAUUAGUUCCCUUGGAUUUAAUGACCAGACUUACCUGCUGCUGUUUGUCAGGAGCCGCUGCAGCUCCCUAUUUAAUUUUGGUUCAUAGCCCGGAUUUGUUUGUUUAGCUGACUGGCAACCUGUUGCUGAUUGUAAGCCCGGUGUCUGCUUAUUGGCCCCAAUUGUUUCAUUAACUGUGAGGUGGUGGAAGUACUGGGUGAAUGCUGCCGCAUAAUGGGGCCAUGUUAGUUUCUGGAUGGGAUUUUCAGGCCAUUUGUUUUACUUGCAUCAAUGCUGAGUCCAAUUUGGUCCAAUUUAGGGAUUUAAUAAAGAACGGCCUCAUCCAAUAACGAAAGUAAACUAAUUUUGUUGAUUUUUGAACUACUACAAUAAAUCAGUGCUUUCAUUUUUAGCCGUACUUAGAUAUACAAAAAUCAUUUUUCUCCGGCAGAACCACUUUGGCUUUAGAAAAUUAGUGCCAUUCCCUACUGGUUUGUUGAACAACAUUACCAAACCUAACUACAGCUGUUGCCAGAGCGGACAUACUGACUCUAAGUAACCUCCAGCCUAGACAGCAACAAAGAGGAUAGAGUUACCCCGAAUUUCCACCGCGUCCGGCACGACUCCGAUCUGGAACGGCAGCAAUUUUUGCUGCCACUGGAUCCGUCUGUGAGGCGAUUUUCGUGGUGGAAUCGCGAGAACUUGCAAGAACCUGCGGAUUCACGUGCAAUCACGCGAUGACGAGUUGUCUCAUCAUAUAACCAUAUUGUGUCCUUCCAGAAGAGGAAAUCCACAUCUAGACUUUUAGAAGCCGGAUGUUUUAUUUUGUGUCUGUGUCCGACUUCCUUUCCAGCACGGGUUAAUCUGUGCCAAAUUUUUCCUGCAUGCUCCAGCGUCCAGAAAAACAGAACUCUUGCAAUCAGCUGUGGAGUCUGGCGAUCCGCAGCAGAACAAAGAAGAAGCCGGUGAAAAUUGACAUAUUAACUUGAAUGGUUACGAUAAGCUACAAUCGGCCUUUUCGUAGCCGUUCUGGAUGCGGUGGAAAUUGGGGGUUAGACUAACGCCCAGUGAACAGCUACAAUGCCCUCACUUGCAAAUCAAAACAGAACUGCCCCUAAAACGGCCGAAUUAUGUAGAGGUUUUAGCGUUAUCCAAUCAAAACAGAUGCAAGGAACCAGCCGUUGUAUUGAGAGGAAAUAACGACAAUAUCUUUUUUUACACCAGGCUGUAAACAUGUUUAAUCCUUUCUUUAUAACUUACAUUUUAAUAUGCACUCUAAUGGGGGUUCCUUUGCUUUUGGAGUCUGCCUCUAUGGGACACUCGAAGAACUGCAGAGCUUAAACUUACAUCAGUGUUGCCUGUAACAGUUCCCUUGUUAAAAUUUAUUAAAAAUGUACCACCGAGGAAAGAAUAUAAUGAUUUUUCCCCCCACAAUUCUCUGCUUUAAGCUAAUUUAACCUAAACAAGGAUUGGCUAAUGUGUCCCAGUGACAGAAAGUCAGCCAAGAAACAACUUCUUGCCUCAGUGAUUUGAGUUGUGAGAGAGUUUGCCUGGUUACUUUUGCCACAUGGGACUGUAAGUUUUUAUGAAUGUGUUUUUCAUAGGAAGCCGAGAAAGAGAGAAGUGAAUGCCAGCUCACUCCUGGCAUCAUGCUAAGGACAAUGAGGCAGGUAAGGUUGGCAAAAUAAAUUAAUCAGGAGUACACAGUGAGCUGGCUCGGUUCUGUGGGACUUUCACAGCAGCUGAAAUAGAACGUCAGGUUGUUGUUGUACUUGGGACUGAUUUAACAACCGAGUUCAAAAGAUGAAUCCAAGACGGCUUGUUUUUCGUCUGUGGCAGGAUUUCAUUUUGAAUUUCAGAGAGAAAGAUAAUGAAAGGUUCUUGUUUUGUUCAUGAUGCACAAGUCAGGCUCUGCUGCUUAAUAAUGAAGCCAACAGGAAAGUGCCAAAAACUGACGUUUUUAAAUAGUCCAUUUCAGGCUGGCUCUAACAGACGAGGAAUUUCCGUUAGAGGCUAUUUUAAAACAUCCAUGUUGUGGGUAGAAUAAGACAUGUUUACAGCCUGGUUCAAAAAGGAGUUCAUCGGCUCUGAUUAGACAACGGGGCGGUUUUGAACAUCUAUUAAUUAGUUAAGGUAAAUAUUGGCAAAGUUUCAAACUAUGUGUUAGACGUGUGUCAGAGUAACCCCUCGAUGAGGAUGCAGGCUUCUACAAACGGCUCGUUCGACAAGUUAUGAGAAUUCAGCGAGAUUUGCACAAUUUGUGACAUCACCAGUUGGUGAUUAACCUUAGGAGGGCAAGUUUGUCAUUUACAAAAACCUCUGAAUGGGGUCGAGUUUACUGUGUUUACAAGAAGAAACCUUCAGUUACUAUAAUAACUUUAAUACUCUCUCUUCCAGGAUUUAAGUUCUGUAUUGAUAGGCAUAAUUAUGGGUGUGGCUAAUUUGAUUGGCAGGUGAGGAAAGGUUGUAGUUUACCUGGCAAGGGUCUCAGCUCCACCUCUUUGCCAGUUUCUUUGAUAUAGAUUUAAUUGUAGUUAGCUUUUCCAAUAUGGCCGCCAUCAUGCAGCCAAAUGGUAGCAUCACUGAGAGUACAUCUGAUGGGUGACGCCAUCAGGACUGAGUCUAUGUCUGAGUAGGUUUGUAAGUGUCUUGCAUGCAAGAAAUUCAAGUGCUUAACUCGUUCAGUGCCAGGAUCAUUUAUGCAGUUUUCACCCAUUGACCACAAUAGGAAUUUCUUUAUCUUACAGGACCUACAGAAUAUCUUGUGAGAGACUUUCAAGCGGAACUCUGAUCGUCUAUUUCAUUUCACUCCAAACUACUUUACCAGUGGCAUCAAGGUCCUCCCUCCUCUGUGUAAACCACACGGACUGCUCUCGUCCUCCUUGCCGGGACUGUCGCUGAAUUCCAGCUCAGUCUCGCUCACCAGUACCGGCACCGGCGGCACAACGACACGCCGAAAAUUGUCUGAUUGAUUGUCUCCAAACGAUCUGAGGGUCCAGUACCAAGAUCUCCACUGGAUCCAGAGACGGUAGCACCGUGCCCACGGGAGCCAAUGUGCUGGUUCGUUAGCUCUUAGCUAAUGACUUCGGCAUUUUCCUACUUUCCUCUUAGCGGGAAAGCACUCAACAACGAGGCAAACUGGCACACUUGAUGACACACUUCUCACUGGUGAGUACUUGUUUUUCUUAUUGUAACAUGGUUAUGACGUCUUUGUCGGCUUUUCUGAGUCCAGAACGACCUGAAACUUAGUCGCAUGUUGGGGAGAAGCGCCCUCUGGUGGAAAACAAAAAAUCUGUCAAAAUCCGUCAAUGGCAGUAAAUGAGUUAAAAAACUUCACAACUUUAAAAAGAUGUGCAAAAUUGUGACAGGAUACCCCGGUCUCCCCUAUUUUUUCAAGGUUAUCCUCACGUUCACCUUCUUUGCCCUUUUUCUGAUAUCUGACUUUGCUGAAAAGCAUUUUCCUUGUCGUUGGUUCAAAUGUUUUGAUCGUAGAUCUUGUUUUUGGAGCCUCUUUUGCGUUGGUGAAUUUACUACUCUGGCCAUUCGCCCCAGCUCCAUGUGGCGCAGGUGACUGAAGACCUGUGAACCGUCCACCACAGGGAUCUCCCAGCACGCUCGCAGGUCUGCAGUGCAGCGACGGCACCACGCCAGCCUGCACUGAGCUUCCCAUCCCAACCCCAUCCAAAACGCUUAAUCAAAAGGGACACCCUCCCCACUCGGUCCCACAUGAAAAGGAAGCUUUUGGCCCACGCUGAGCACCUUGGCAGCACGACAGAGAGUAACCCAGAUUGCUCCACAACUCACAACCCUACGAGAAUGCUGAAAAAGAGCCCUGUGAUACAAUCUGCAUUUUCUUGCAUGUAAUUGAAGCUUUGGGGACACGGCUGAUGGUGAUGUGACCUGCUGCAGCCUAAUCAGCCUUCCUGUCUUCGCCAUCAUUGCUGAUGGAUGUUUAUUGCCCGUUCCAAAACGGGGCAUGCAUGUCACCACCCGCAGAAGUUGAUCUGCGCCGGCGAAUGAAUGUCAGAGGGAAAAUUACUGUAAUUUCCCUCAUCAACCUUCGCUCAAGCAUGUACCCCAGAAUUAGGGUCACCUUUUCCUGGCUCGGUUGAAUCAUUCUGACGCAGCUGUGCAAUUUCCUUGCCAGAGAAAACACAUGUAUGAUUUGCACAAUUUUCUAUUCACGGCUGGGUUUUUUUAAAAUGAUUUUCACAGCACUCCCGGAUUUAAGACCUAAAUUAGUGACUCAAAAGAAUGUGGGUGUAAGUGGUUGUAAACUACCACAUUGUGCGUGAUUGUUGUGUUUUUUUUUCUCUUCCUGCACAGGAACCAAUUCAGAAUUUCUAUAUCAGAUUUUGGUGCAAUUGAGAGCCAAAUAUCGCACCAAACAAGCACCGAUAUCCUCUUGUACUAGCCUAAUGCUGCACAGAGUUCGGCUCACUGUGUAUUCAUGUUGGGUCUCUGUAGUAAUAAAACGAAGAGGAAAGUUUCAGACGUCACGCAUAAUCACACUUCACUCUUUCACAGCACUCCUCCAAUCAGGAGCUGCUAAUUUAUCAAUAGCAGUUCCCUGCUGCCUUCAGGUACUGCAGGAUUUAAUGAAUUGCCAGCCCUGACACAUUUCAAAGUCACAUAAAGCUCCACUUUGUUAAUGAGGAAGAUUUAUUGAAGAUUCGUUUCUCACAUCUCUAAAAUCAACAUAAAACAGGCUAAUUUAAGAAGGUGGGAGAUGAGAUAGAAGCUGCAAGAGGAAAGUGAGGGAAAUAGAGUAAAGGAAUAACUGAGUAUCCUCUGAGCUCAUUUAAACAAGCGUCUCAUUGAUUGUUAUGUGUUUAAAGUAAAACCCUGAGGUACGAUCUGUUUACUGACACGUGCAAAAGCAAAUAAUAUAAUAUCAUAUUUGUAUCUACGCUGACUCUUCUGUUUGUCAUGUCCAACAGAGCGGUGGAGUAAUACUGGAUUAAAACGUCUAAUUAGGUCAACACUCCAAAAGAGGGUCUGUGAAAAAGAGCUGAUCUCUUUGAACUUAAUUUUGCCAAAACACUUUUUUUUUUAUCUUAAAAAGGAUUAACGUGUGAUUGCAGCAUACUUUCACAUUUCACGUCACCUCAAACGCCACGCAAAAGCAAGAAGGGUAUCCCCUCUAAAAGAUGUUUAACAUGUCAGCAUUAUCAAGUUAAACUGUCGUCUCCCAAAUUGGUGGAAACUAUAGAUACUACAUUACCCAUAAUGCCCUCCAACACUCAUACUUAUGCCAAUAAUCUUUUAAACUCUGAAUUUUGACGCCUCUUAACUGUCUAUCGAAAAACCCGAACUGACUACCCAGUGUCCAAAACUUCCAACUGUGUAUGUCGAGCUAAAUCUCAGUAUACUACAUUUCCCAUAAUGCCACUCAACAGUCUCUUUCAAAUCAUCUAAAACUAAUGCUCCGUUCCAGUUCCCUCGGGAGUCGAAUGUCGAAGCUGGGCAUGACGUUACACCCGAGUUGACGGCGUUUCAGUUAACAAGUCGGAAAACUAAGAUGGACGCCAACUGUUAGCCGUCGUUAGCUGUUGUUUACAAUUGUCGCUAGCCGUCGUCAGUUGUUGUUAGCUAUACCAGUGGUAAACAGUGCUUAACGGUAUUUUACUCUUACGAACACCAUAGCACCGUGUUCACAGUUAGAUGUUGGGCAGUACAACAUAUACCACUUAUUUAAUUUCACAAAAACAAAAAAGAAAUGCUAAUAAAUAAUACAUUACGAGAGCUUUCACUGUUACUCUUUACUGUUGAUGCGCUGCGCUGCCAUCUUGGAUAAUGACGUUGUCGUUGAGUCGGGGUUGGCGAGGCUCGUCCGACUUUCCGAGUCAGAAAUCUGACUUCUGGGGGGCGUUCCAGAUGAAUUUCCAACUUGGAGCUGGGAAAUCCCGACUUCCGAGUACAACUGAAACGCAGCAUAAUUACCUUGAGUUUCCUAGACAAAUAUCCAAAGUUAAAAGCUGCGUCCGAAUUGCCAAGUAGUAGUCGAAGUAGUAGUCGAAGUAGUAUCUAGCAUGUCCGAAUUGGCCACCGGAGCGAGUAGCAUGCUACUUCAGAUACUACUUCAGAUGCUAGACACGCCCACAUUGUAGGUUGGUCUCGGUGCAUCCUACGGGCAUGCUACUGACCCAAAAUGCACCGCGGGCUUCUUCUUCGUCCUCUUAAAAGUUGUAGAAGCGCAUGUGAUGCUAGCGCCACCAGCUGCUCUGCCUAUUUAAAUGUGUCGCGAACGCCGGCUGGCCACAGCAGCGCGCACCAUGUCGGAGCAGCAGCAGCAGCAGACGGGACCGCAGCAGUACAGAUGUAAGUUUCAUGUAACUUCACACACUGUCCUAAAAAAUGUGCGGUUGUAUCUCUUUGUCAUGUCAUGGUGUCAUAUUUGCCCAAGUAAUCAUUUUAUGAGCAAGUGGCGACAUCAUGGAGGUAAAGCUCACUUAUUCCAUCAUUAAACUGCACAGCUGCAGUACUACAGCCAGGCCCGCAGAUGAGGGGCUUCAGUUACCACUGUCUGCACGGGCGCAGUACCUACUCUCUGCCUGCGGGGGUCGUCUUUCCCCACCGCUCGUCUAGUGUGUCCGAAUUGGGCCAACGUUUUUAGUAUGUAGGAGUAGGAUCUAGCAGUAGCACGUAGCAGUAGCAUGUAGUAUCCGAGCGGGCAGUUCGGACGCAGCAAGAGUCUCCAGAACACACACAAAAAAGCAAUAAAUACUACAUUUCCCAUAAUGCCAUUCACUAGUUCCCCUCAGUCCACAAGUUAGAAACACCAAACCUUUGGUUCCAAGAACAGGUGACAAAAAUUUUAGAUCCCAGACAACUUAAAGCUCAGUGAUAAGGACUGCAUUUCCCAUAAUUCCACUCAAAAUCGUUCUUAGCCCACAGAGCCAGCUCAUUUAAACACCUUUCACCCUCUGUACAUUGAGUUUUUAAGACAGGUAUCCUGAGUUUAAGCCCACCACACAGUAAAAAUGCAGGACAGUACAGCUUAAUAAUCUUUUCGGCUUGUUCCCUUCUUCUAACCACAUCUCCAACCUC
rnacentral:lncRNA from 1 species